CAGUAGCCGCGGUAAUACGAAGGGUGCAAGCGUUACUCGGAAUUACUGGGCGUAAAGCGUGCGUAGGUGGUGGUUUAAGUCCGUUGUGAAAGCCCUGGGCUCAACCUGGGAAUUGCAGUGGAUACUGGGUCACUAGAGUGUGGUAGAGGAUAGUGGAAUUUCCGGUGUAGCAGUGAAAUGCGUAGAGAUCGGAAGGAACAUCUGUGGCGAAGGCGACUAUCUGGGCCAACACUGACACUGAGGCACGAAAGCGUGGGGAGCAAACAGGAUUAGAGACCCGAGUAGUCCCUGUCUCUUAUAC
rnacentral:rRNA from 1 species